ACUCAAAUGAAUUGACGGGGGUCCGCACAAGCGGUGGAACAUGUGGUUUAAUUCGAUACUACGCGAGGAACCUUACCUAGGCUUGACAUGCUUGUGACAGCUGUAGAAAUACAGUCUUUUUGGCUUCGGUCAAGACACAUGCACAGGUGCUGCAUGGCUGUCGUCAGCUCGUGUCGUGAGAUGUUGGGUUAAGUCCUUUAACGAGCGCAACCCUUGCCGCCAGUUGCUAUCCAUGAAAGUGGAGCACUCUGGUGGGACUGCCUGGGAAACCAGGAGGAAGGUGGGGAUGACGUCAAGUCCGCAUGGUCCUUAUGCCUAGGGCAACACACGUGUUACAAUGGCCAGCACAGAGGGUCGCAAUUCCGCAAGGAGGAGCCAAUCCCUAAAUCUGGUCUAAGUUCGGAUUGAGGUCUGCAACUCGACCUCAUGAAGUUGAAAUCGCUAGUAAUCGCGUAUCAGAACGACGCGGUGAAUACGUUCUCGGGCCUUGCACACACCGCCCGU
rnacentral:rRNA from 1 species